CCUACGGGAGGCUGCAGUGGGGAAUAUUGCACAAUGGGCGCAAGCCUGAUGCAGCCAUGCCGCGUGUGUGAAGAAGGCCUUCGGGUUGUAAAGCACUUUCAGCGGGGAGGAAGGCGGUGAGGUUAAUAACCUCAUCGAUUGACGUUACCCGCAGAAGAAGCACCGGCUAACUCCGUGCCAGCAGCCGCGGUAAUACGGAGGGUGCAAGCGUUAAUCGGAAUUACUGGGCGUAAAGCGCACGCAGGCGGUCUGUCAAGUCGGAUGUGAAAUCCCCGGGCUCAACCUGGGAACUGCAUUCGAAACUGGCAGGCUAGAGGCUUGUAGAGGGGGGUAGAAUUCCAGGUGUAGCGGUGAAAUGCGUAGAGAUCUGGAGGAAUACCGGUGGCGAAGGCGGCUCCCUGGACAAAGACUGACGCUCAGGUGCGAAAGCGUGGGGAGCAAACAGGAUUAGAUACCCUUGUAGUC
rnacentral:rRNA from 1 species